rnacentral:rRNA from 1 species
GACGAACGCUGGCGGCGUGCCUAAUACAUGCAAGUCGAACGCUGAAGGAGGAGCUUGCUUCUCUGGAUGAGUUGCGAACGGGUGAGUAACGCGUAGGUAACCUGCCUGGUAGCGGGGGAUAACUAUUGGAAACGAUAGCUAAUACCGCAUAAGAGUAGAUGUCGCAUGACAUUUGCUUAAAAGGUGCACUUGCAUCACUACCAGAUGGACCUGCGUUGUAUUAGCUAGUUGGUGAGGUAACGGCUCACCAAGGCAACGAUACAUAGCCGACCUGAGAGGGGGAUCGGCAACACUGGGACUGGGAGACGGCCCAGACUCCUGCGGGAGGCAGCAGGAGGGAAUCUUCGGCAAUGGACGGAAGUGUGACCGAGCAACGCCGCGUGAGAGAAGGAGGUUUUCGGAUCGUAAAGGUCUGUUGUAAGAGAAGAACGAGUAGGAGAGUUGAAAGUUCACACUGUGACGGUAUCUUACCAGAAAGGGACGGCUAACUACGUG